CAGAGGUCUCAACCGUUGUUCGGAUUCAUUGGGCGUAAAGGGUGCGUAGGCGGUCGCGCAAGUCGGAUGUGAAAUCUCGGGGCUCAGCCCCGAAACUGCAUUCGAUACUGCGUGGCUAGAGUGCUGGAGAGGAGACUGGAAUUUACGGUGUAGCAGUGAAAUGCGUAGAUAUCGUAAGGAAGACCAGUGGCGAAGGCGAGUCUCUGGACAGCAACUGACGCUGAGGCACGAAGGCAGGGGAGCAAACCGGAUUAGAUACCCCGGUAGUCCUGGCAGUAAACGGUGCACGUUUGGUGUAGGCGGAUUCGACCCCGCCUGUGCCGGAGCUAACGCGUUAAACGUGCCGCCUGGGAAGUACGGUCGCAAGAUUA
rnacentral:rRNA from 1 species